UACGGAGGGUGCAAGCGUUAAUCGGAAUUACUGGGCGUAAAGCGCGCGUAGGCGGUUUGGUAAGUCAGAUGUGAAAGCCCCGGGCUUAACCUGGGAAUUGCAUUCGAUACUGCCAGACUAGAGUGUAUUAGAGGAAAGUGGAAUUCCGGGUGUAGCGGUGAAAUGCGUAGAUAUCCGGAGGAACAUCAGUGGCGAAGGCGACUUUCUGGGAUAACACUGACGCUGAGGUGCGAAAGCGUGGGGAGCAAACAGG
rnacentral:rRNA from 1 species